rnacentral:miRNA from 15 species
GCAGGCAUCUUUUCAGCCUACA